AGAACGAACGUUAGCGGCGCGCCUAACACAUGCAAGUCGAACGCGACUGGGGGCAACUCCAGUUGAGUGGCGCACGGGUGAGUAACACGUAGGUAAUCUCCCCCCGAGUGGUGGAUAACCCUCCGAAAGGAGAGCUAAUACAGCAUGAGACCACGGUUUCGAAAGGGACUGAGGUCGAAGCGGAGGAUCGCAAGACUUCGCGCUUGGGGAUGAGCCUGCGGCCCAUCAUGGUAGUUGGCGGGUAAUGGCCCACCAAGCCUUAGACGGGUAGCUGGUCUGAGAGGAUGAUCAGCCACACUGGAACUGAGACACGGUCCAGACUCUACGGGAGCAGCAGUGGGGGAUCUUGCGCAAUGGACGAAAGUCUGACGCAGCGACGCCGCGUGGGUGAUGAAGGCCGUUGGUUAGUAACGCCCGUGGUGGGAGGACGUAAGUAAGGUUUACGGUUAA
rnacentral:rRNA from 1 species